rnacentral:misc_RNA from 1 species
CCUCAAUUGUUCCUCCUCUUUCUAAAUUGAAGAAAUUAGCUAUUGGGGGUUACCCAAGUUUAACAUCUCUGCCUCAAGAGAUGCGUUCCCUCACCUCUUUACGAGAAUUGACAAUUAGUGGUUGUCCCCUGUUGAGCAAAAGAUGUGCAGAUACAAAGGGUGAGGAUUGGCCUUUUAUUUCUCACAUCCCAAAUGUUCAAGUUGAUGGCAA